CAUAAUAUAUAUACAGCAUAUAUGUGUAAAAAAAAACUGUUACUAUAUUCUGAGAGGAAUAGGCGAAGAAAACGCAUUAAUGACAGAGGGAAGAACAAUGGGUGUCUCGUUAUUCGACACAUCAAGCUCAUUUUUCAGGAUAUGGUGCUAUUGUCGGAAUAUCAGGCGCGUUUCUUGUCGUGCGCCUCGUGUUUACAGAUUCCUAACCUAUAACUAACAUAUAACUAACGCCAACUUCAAUACUUGGCGUUGGAACACUCAAAUACUUUGUUGUUCCCUUAAUAACCUUCGUAUAUUUAUCCUAUUUUGCACAUUUGUUUCUCACACAAAUCGAGAACGAUAACAACUAUUAAAAUAUGGAAAUAGUUAUAAAAAAAUUGAUAUUAGUUAUUAAAGGUAACAGUGGUCAAAUGAGACAAAUCUUUCUACUGGAUUAUGUAAUAAGAAAUUACAGAUUUUUUAGAUAAAGUCGAGCAGUAACCAAGUUUCUCUAAAUGCAAUGCAACAGUUUCAUUUAAUAUCUUCAGUGUUUCUGUCAUCUCUCGUGUUGAUUAUUGACAUUGGUGUCUAUAGGUUUGAAAAAUCUACCUAUUGAUAAUUUGAAAUUACUUAUUACACAUUUCAGUAUUUGAAAGAACAGAUAAUACAUCAACAUUUCAAUAGUUACUAUCGAUUUGGACUCUUGUAAUAGUUGUGUAGUAAUAGUAGCAAUAAUACUAAGAGGCAGAUAUUGCGAAAGAAAGAAGGAUUUUAAGAACAUUUUUACAUGAACAAUUGUAACAGUAAGAUCAGACAUUGAUCAGAAGUUGUAAUUUAUACAGAUCUACAAAGGAUUGUUGGAUUAGUAGAUCCGCAGUAGAAAUAUUGUUGAACAGAUUUACUUCAAAGCAAGAGAUAAAAAAAGAACAGUUGGAAAUGUAUUAUACAAUACAUAGUUUAUGUUUCAAGAGGCAAACAUAUAAUAAUAACUUUUAAAAAGCUUGAUGAAACAUUAAUGACUUUAAUGAUACUGUUUUAACUUACCAGUACUUUUCUACAGUCUCUUACAAGAUUUGAAACCAAAUCUUUCAUAUCAUUAAGCUUGUUAGAGAAAAUAAAAAUGUGUGUGUUUGUGUAGCAAAGAAAUAUUGAAAUUAGUUUUUAUUACGGAUCUUUCAAGAAUAGCUUAUAUCAAUGACAUAAAAGAAAGGGUUUGCGCUUAUACCAAUUUGUCUUGCAUAAAUACAAUUGUUAUGCUUUAUAAAAUCAGUCGAUAUUACACAAUUGAUUAUUGUUACUCAAACACGUACCGGAAUUUUGUGACAGCUCCACGGCGCCGUUUUUAUACAACUUAUUUUCCACAGAAAAUUGAAAUUCUUCAAAAUCGUGAUCCAAUGGACUAUUCAUUUCCAAUCUGUAAAAAAAUAUAUAAUACUCAAAGUAUCGAUAAUAAAAUCUCCGUGAAAAUUUCUAUU